GACGUAUUUUAGCUACUAGAAAAUGCUACUAAAAUGUUACCGUAAAAUAUUUGAUUGGAGCAGAAUUUUUAAAAUGUGUUUACAGUCACAAAAAUAAAACCGCAUACACCACAGUACGUGUACAAUCGAUACAUUCUAAACUUCGCUCAGAAUCUAAAAAUAAUUUACAUUGUACAAAAACUAUUGGGUGGAGACUGGCGGUGUCCUGAAAGUAUUCUCACUGCACAGAUAUCAUCAUGAAAUAGUCAUAAAAUCAUGUUUUGUGUCACUUCCGCUACAUGUUCGUGAGAAUUGUAAGAGGAUGUUAACCCCCAGGACUCCGGGACACCUCUCCUAAAUACUCAUCACUGUACGUUAUAUUAGAUA